CCCGAUUUCAUUUGGAAAAAAAAUAAAUAACAAUAAAACAAGUUUGGAAAAAACCAAAUAAUUUGUCGGCGUGUUGUUUUAAUAUUUCAAGGUUUCUCUCGCACCGAUACACCCGAAUAUUCCCGUAAACAAAAUAAUUACAAGAGAAGAAAUGAACGAAGAAAAAAAACUAGGAAUAAUGUAAUGUAGAGAGAGAAAGAGAAAAGAGAAAAAAACCGGUGUGUGCUGCUGGUCCGUUAGGACUUUGAACACAAUCGCCGAACGAGAGAGAGGCAGGGGUAUAGGGUCCGUUUCUGUUUUCCUUUUUUAUAUUUUUAAUCGACCCGGCACGUGAUCGUGGCAUUGGGCAUGAGUUCAUCGGGUAUUCGUCCUCAAAACGAAAUAUUUUUUUUUUAAACAAAAACUGGCAGUCAUAUUUUCGUGAAUAAAAAUAUACCUUUUUCUCCCCCCCCCCCCCAAUCAAUUCUUGAUGAUGAUGAUUAUUUGAUCGAGUUUUGUUUUAUCUUCCUUUUAUGGUUAAAUUUGUUUCCAUUCCAUUAUAGAAUAUCGGCGUCUUUUGGUUGAGUUUAUUUUCGUCCAAGAGUCGUGUCACGUUUCUUAUUCUCUUGUCAAAUGAUAUUCGCCAACGUUUGCAAAUUCCAGUUGUCAAUCGCCUUCUCGUUCCCCUCCACUGGAAAACAAUCUCAAAACAAAAACAGGUUCCCUCCAAAAAAGUUUAUUUUUAAAUCGACCCUGAUGAUAUUUAAAGAUUUUUAUUUCUCCUCAACUAUUCCGAUUAAUCAACUUUUUUUUUGUUUUUCUCUUUUGUGUCUUUGUCUUUGUCUCUCUACCGGAAUUGCGUCUCCCAGCCAAUCACCACCGAUGGAGAAAAAAAUCAAGAAAACUGGAUUCUCCUUCCCAAAAAAUUCAAAAAAUUCUUUUGGUUUUUUUUCUCUUCUUGGCAACGUUCGUGACAAAUCAAAGUCCCCUAAUGAUUACAAUUCGUUUUUUUUUUCUUCUCUUCUAGCUUCUAAUAAAAGUCUCGCGAACGACCUUGACUCGGUUAGAAAAGGCACCCAACAACACGCCAGUAUCACCAUGAGAGAUGUGGGACCCCCAGAACGUUGGUUCGGCCACCUAGCGGCAGUCGCCUUGAGAUCAAAACUCACGAAAGGAAAAAAGAAAAAAGAACCACACCACGGCGUCAACAAGUUCAUCGGACGUCGUCGUCCUUCUUCUCUCCGGCUCUUCUAUAUAUCCCGAAAAGAAAAAGAAGAAAAUAAAAAUAAAUCAGCUGCUGCUGCUGCUGCUGCUGCUGCUGCCGUUUGUUUACGAUGGCCGGCAGGGCUUUGGCCAGCUACAGCAGCGCCAACGGACGAACGCAGAAGAAGGUCAUCGGAUAUCGAUGGGUAGACGUGAUUCGCCUUUCUCAUCUCUGCACAGCUGUGACGGACGUGAAAGUUGGACAAAACAGGAAUCAUCUCAGAAGAAGAUAACCCAAAAAAUGUUUUCGAAUUUCAUUUUUAAACAUUUUUAAUGGCCGGAGAAGAAGAGGAAGCUCUGGCAUGCCGAGAAUGCCAAACAACAGGUUAUCUUUUCUUAGUUUUUUCUUAUACAACAACCAAAAUCGGUUGGAGGGAGGAGUCAUAUCCGGUGACGUCACAUAGCCCACGAUCUCGCAUCAUCGCACAUCACGUGACCGCUAAAAACUUCAACAUUUGGCAAAAAUUUAAAUUAAAAAAAAAAAAAAAAAUUCCCGAAAUUUCAAAUUUAAUUUUUCUCCCGCCACUGAAACUGUUAAAUAAUCAAUAAUUUGUUUUCAAUCGAAUUAUAUAUAUUUAGAAAGUUGACGUUAUAUUGAUUUUUAGAUAAAAAUAUUUUUUUCCUCGUCCUGGUUUCUAACCUUGCUCCCGAACGCUGUUUGCAGCUGCACAGCUUUUUCGUUCGUUCGUUCGGAAAACCCAGCGGCCACGCACACACACACGAGAGAGAGAGAGAGAGAGAGAGAGACGAGGUAGUAAUAUAUAGCUGGCCAAAAAAGUUAAUACUAAAGGUCCAAGGUUUUUCUUCUUCUUCUCCUUAAACGUCACAUGACCGCCAAUGUUGUUUGUUGUUUUUGGUUUCGUUCGGUCGGGAAAAAAAUAAACAAACAAUUUUUCCUGAAUGAAAAUGUGAAGAUGUGCGUUGCGCAUUGGAUCGCAUUUGAUCGGAUAAGAUAAAAAUGGUGAUGAAAUGUCGUCGUCGUCGUCGUCGUGUAUAAUGCGCUCCAAUGUUUUUAUCUCACCGCCCACGUUCCCAGAAGAAAUUAUUACGAACGAAAUGAUUUUUUCCAAUAUUGUGCAAUAUGUUACGGUGCGCUGUGCAGUAGUCCCGCGCGAGGAGCGGGAUCGAACGCCAUUUCCUAGAACAACAGAAAAACGCCCGUGCACGCAGCUCUACAGGGAGAACAGACGAAUUUCGCAGGAACUAAUAGAAAAUCCCACCAACAACAACUGCCGCCGCCGAUUCCUUGAAGAAGUUUUACGUCGGCGGUUUUUCCACGAAUGUAUUCAGCCGAUUGCCACACACACACAAAACUUUAAUGUUGCCAACGAAUAAUAGGAAAAACCACGCCAUAUAAACGAGCAGGAAUAUCGAAGAAGAUUAAAGAGAAAACCAGAGAGAAGAAGAAAUGUUUAUAUCUAACUGUGUGUGUGUAGGCGCUGGGUUGCUAAGGGCAACGGCGGGAAAACCCGGUUCGACUCUAGCAUGCAACCACACACACACACACACACAAUAUACAUGAAACUACGUCACGAUGAUAUGCUGCUGCCCAAGCCCAAGCCCCUUGGCUGAACUGGCGAUAGCUCCAUGCCCUGAACUGCGUGCUGCUGCCACUAUCGACGUCAUUUUCCAACGGCGCCCAGCACCACCACCACCACCAGCACUACUACACUACAGUACACACACAUCUCGUUCCAACCGGUUUCGACUUUCACCCGGACGCUCCCGCCCAGAGCCCACAGUAGCUCUCAUAGUAUAUUAUAGAUGGAUAGUUACACUUUUUCUUUUGUCCAUAAAUACAUAUUUUGUUUCGUUUUCUCUUAUUUUUUGAACGUUUCACCGUGACCUUAAAAAUUUUAGGCGGGAAUGGUUGUUUUUGGUUUCGUACGAAAAAAUAUUUGUAUUAUUAUUUAAUUAUUAUUUUUGCAUCAUCAUCAUCAUCAUCAAAUAUGGAGGGGGUGAGGAGACAUAAACAGACACACAAACGAUUUCUUGUUUUUUGUUUUGUUGCAUAGCGCUCAAUAUUAAUGAAAAUCUAUUUCAAAUGUUUUCUGACUGCAUUUGUGCGUCUACAAAAAUUGAAAAAUGUUUUCCAGGUGACACAGAAUUUUUCCGACGAUUUG